GAAAAUUCCUAGACAACCAAAAUCUAUUGAAAAGGAAAAAUAGGAUUUAGAUUCUCUGCCAUCAUACUGCCAAUACACAAACUACCUAGGUUAAGCUAAUGUUCAUCUCUCUGCUGCAAAGCAAUGCUCAAAUUGCUGUCUACUAUAGUAUGUUCCCUCUAACUAACACUGCACCAUUAUAUGGUGAUUGUGUGGGUCCUGUAGGAAGCUAAGCUGCUCUGAUGCAACUUUUCAUUUUGUUGUUUAUGUAUAUUUUUUUUUAUGAAGGUCUAUUCUCAUAUAUAUGAACUAAUCAGUGUCUAAAGAACCUGUAGAUACCUGAUUUUUGAUGAAGCUCACCUAGAACUUUGAUGCAAUGGUCUUACUGCCAAAAACAAAUAUGGUACUCUCAAUAAAUUUAUUCCUGAAAUUUUCCUUUAUCUAAUUCCGUUGGAAACUGGUCUAUGUAGUCCCAACUAAUAAACAAUUACUUACUAACUAUAUAAUUUAACAAUCACUUAGUAACUAUAUAAUUUAUCUUCCUGAAUCCUAAAAUUGCAAAGAUAGCCCUGCAUAUCUACUAUAGCACAAUCGAGUAAACUAAGAUCUAGAGGAAAAUUUUGGCAUUUAAAACUAUGGAAGGACCUAUUUUUGAAAAUCAUGUUAGUUUUUAUCUAUAUCAAGAAUUGUCUUCUGCUCCUAUGAAGUUAUCUUCCAAGCAUGCACGUGCAUUCACAUAUUUGGGUGUGUUUAUGAUUGCUAACAAAUCAUGCAUCUCUAUGGUUACACUUGCAGGCUUCAGGAUUUAU
rnacentral:misc_RNA from 1 species